GACGAACGCUGGCGGCGUGCUUAACACAUGCAAGUCGAGCGGGGUCCAUCUUGUCGCAAGACAAGGGAAGACCUAGCGGCGAACGGGUGAGUAACACGUGAGCAACCUGCCCCGAAGACUGGGAUAACACCGGGAAACCGGUGCUAAUACCGGAUACCCUCAAUGAGUCGCAUGGCUCGAUGAGGAAAUGGAUUCCGCUUCGGGAGGGGCUCGCGGCCUAUCAGCUUGUUGGGGGGUAACGGCCUACCAAGGCUCCGACGGGUAGCUGGUCUGAGAGGACGACCAGCCACACUGGGACUGAGACACGGCCCAGACUCCUACGGGAGGCAGCAGUGGGGAAUCUUGCGCAAUGGGCGCAAGCCUGACGCAGCAACGCCGCGU
rnacentral:rRNA from 1 species